AGUGAACGCUGGCGGUAGGCCUAACACAUGCAAGUCGAACGGCAGCACAGUAAGAGCUUGCUCUUACGGGUGGCGAGUGGCGGACGGGUGAGGAAUACAUCGGAAUCUACUUUUUCGUGGGGGAUAACGUAGGGAAACUUAUGCUAAUACCGCAUACGACCUACGGGUGAAAGCAGGGGAUCUUCGGACCUUGCGCGAUUGUAUGAGCCGAUGUCGGAUUAGCUAGUUGGCAGGGUAAAGGCCCACCAAGGCGACGAUCCGUAGCUGGUCUGAGAGGAUGAUCAGCCACACUGGAACUGAGACACGGUCCAGACUCCUACGGGAGGCAGCAGUGGGGAAUAUUGGACAAUGGGCGCAAGCCUGAUCCAGCCAUACCGCGUGGGUGAAGAAGGCCUUCGGGUUGUAAAGCCCUUUUGUUGGGAAAGAAAAGCAGCAGGUUAAUACCCCGCUGUUCUGACGGUACCCAAAGAAUAAGCACCGGCUAACUUCGUG
rnacentral:rRNA from 1 species